GAUAAACGCUAGCGGCAGGCUCAACACAUGCAAGUCGAGGGGCAGCAUAGAUUGUAGCAAUACAAUUGGUGGCGACCGGCGCACGGGUGCGUAACGCGUAUGCAACCUACCCGUCACAGGGGGAUAAUCCGUAGAAAUCUGGUCUACUACCCCAUAACAUAUGGAUCGGCAUCGGUUCAAGUUGAAAUUUUCGGAGGUGACGGAUGGGCAUGCGUAGCAUUAGCUUGUAGGUGAGGUAACGGCGCACCAAGGCGACGAUGCUUAGGGGGACUGAGAUGUUUUCCCCCCACACUGGUACUGAGACACGGACCAGACUCCUGCGAGAGGCAGCAGUGAGGAAUAUUGGUCAAUGGGCGCAAGCCUGAACCAGCCAUGCCGCGUGCAGGAUGACGGCUCUAUGAGUUGUAUACUGCUUUUGUACGAGGGUAAAGUGGGUUACGUGUAACCUUUUGAAAGUAUCGUACGAAUAAGGAUCGGCUAACUCCGUGCCAGCAGCCGCGGUAA
rnacentral:rRNA from 1 species